rnacentral:rRNA from 1 species
AUUGAACGCUGGCGGCAUGCUUUACACAUGCAAGUCGAACGGUAACAGGUUAAGCUGACGAGUGGCGAACGGGUGAGUAAUGCAUCGGAACGUGCCCGGUCGUGGGGGAUAACGCAGCGAAAGCUGCGCUAAUACCGCAUACGAUCUGAGGAUGAAAGCGGGGGACCGUAAGGCCUCGCGCGAUCGGAGCGGCCGAUGUCAGAUUAGGUAGUUGGUGGGGGAAAGGCUCACCAAGCCGACGAUCUGUAGCUGGUCUGAGAUGACGACCAGCCACACUGGGACGGAGAGACGGCCCAGACUCCUACGGGAGGCAGCAGUGGGGAAUUUUGGACAAUGGGCGCAAGCCUGAUCCAGCCAUGCCGCGUGCGGGAAGAAGGCCUUCGGGUUGUAAACCGCUUUUGUCAGGGAAGAAAAGACUCCUGUUAAUACCGGGGGUUCAUGACGGUACCUGAAGAAUAAGCACCGGCUAACUACGUGCCAGCAGCCGCAGUAA